CCUACGGGCGGCAGCAGUGGGGAAUAUUGGACAAUGGGCGAAAGCCUGAUCCAGCCAUGCCGCGUGUGUGAAGAAGGCCUUCGGGUUGUAAAGCACUUUCAGUGGGGAAGAAAGCCUUGGGGCUAAUACCCUCGAGGAAGGACAUCACCCACAGAAGAAGCACCGGCUAACUCCGUGCCAGCAGCCGCGGUAAUACGGAGGGUGCGAGCGUUAAUCGGAAUUACUGGGCGUAAAGCGCGCGUAGGCGGUCUGAUAAGCCGGUUGUGAAAGCCCCGGGCUCAACCUGGGAACGGCAUCCGGAACUGUCAGGCUAGAGUGCAGGAGAGGACGGUAGAAUUCCCGGUGUAGCGGUGAAAUGCGUAGAGAUCGGGAGGAAUACCAGUGGCGAAGGCGGCCUUCUGGACUGACACUGACGCUGAGGUGCGAAAGCGUGGGUAGCAAACAGGAUUAGAUACCCCAGUAGUC
rnacentral:rRNA from 1 species